rnacentral:rRNA from 2 species
AUACUGCAGUCGAGCGGACAGAUGGGAGCUUGCUCCCUGAAGUCAGCGGCGGACGGGUGAGUAACACGUGGGCAACCUGCCUGUAAGACUGGGAUAACUCCGGGAAACCGGGGCUAAUACCGGAUAAUUCUUUUCUCUUCAUGGAGAAAAGCUGAAAGACGGUUUCGGCUGUCACUUACAGAUGGGCCCGCGGCGCAUUAGCUAGUUGGUGAGGUAACGGCUCACCAAGGCAACGAUGCGUAGCCGACCUGAGAGGGUGAUCGGCCACACUGGGACUGAGACACGGCCCAGACUCCUACGGGAGGCAGCAGUAGGGAAUCUUCCGCAAUGGACGAAAGUCUGACGGAGCAACGCCGCGUGAGUGAUGAAGGUUUUCGGAUCGUAAAACUCUGUUGUCAGGGAAGAACAAGUACCGGAGUAACUGCCGGUACCUUGACGGUACCUGACCAGAAAGCCACGGCUAACUACGUGCCAGCAGCCGCGGUAAUACGUAGGUGGCAAGCGUUGUCCGGAAUUAUUGGGCGUAAAGCGCGCGCAGGCGGUUCCUUAAGUCUGAUGUGAAAGCCCACGGCUCAACCGUGGAGGGUCAUUGGAAACUGGGGAACUUGAGUGCAGAAGAGAAGAGCGGAAUUCCACGUGUAGCGGUGAAAUGCGUAGAGAUGUGGAGGAACACCAGUGGCGAAGGCGGCUCUUUGGUCUGUAACUGACGCUGAGGCGCGAAAGCGUGGGGAGCGAACAGGAUUAGAUACCCUGGUAGUCCACGCCGUAACGAUGAGUGCUAAGUGUUAGAGGGUUUCCGCCCUUUAGUGCUGCAGCUAACGCAUUAAGCACUCCGCCUGGGGAGUACGGCCGCAAGGCUGAAACUCAAGGAAUUGACGGGGGCCCGCACAAGCGGUGAGCAUGUGUUUAAUUCGAAGCAACGCGAAGACCCUUACCAGGUCUUGACAUCCUCUGACUUCCCUAGAGAUAGGGCGUUCCCCUUCGGGGGACAGAGUGACAGGUGUUGCAUGAUUGUCGUCAGCUCGUGUCGU